rnacentral:rRNA from 1 species
GUCCACGGCCAUAUCACCCUGAAUGUGCCCGAUCUUGUCUGAUCUCAGAAGCUAAGCAGGGUCAGGCCUGGUUAGUACUUGGAUGGGAGACUGCUUGGGAAUACCAGGUGCUGCAGGCU